rnacentral:ncRNA from 1 species
UCAAUGGCAAUGAAGGGAAAAAGUACGCUAUCAAGGAGUUACAGAGAGCCGGCGGGGGGUGCAAGCCGGUACGAGUUGGUUGCCGAAGUUCUUUCCGGAGCUUUCCCGCUGAAAUAAGUAGGCAGGAACGGCGUGACGGUCGUUAAUGCGUCAUGAGUUGAUCAAAUGAUAAUUAGGGUGGUACCGCGGAGUUUUCCGUCCCUGGGUGCCAUCCUUUUUUAUUUGAUAAUUAGGGUGGUACCGCGACCGCGUCCCGUCGUCCCUUCU